GCUGCAGGCGCAGCAGCGUCGUCCUCUUUAUUCUGGAAGAGAAAGAAAGCAGGAGUCCCAGUGCCAAACAUCACAGCACCCCGGCUACAGAGUGCUCAUACAGCAGAUUUUUGUCUUCAGAGAGAAUGUUAGAAAUCCUCAGCAAUGAGCAUUCUGCCUUUGACUCAGAUGUGACCUAGUUCCCCAGAUGAUUGCAGGGCAGUGCCACGGUACCAGAAAUGACAUUUAUGGGGCAGAAGGAGAGAGAAAAUGAAGCUGUGCAUCUUAGCUGCUGAUGAAUGAGGAAAAAUCUCUCUAAAUUGAACAAAAAGAGAGUAUUUCCCAGAGCUGAUCUAACAUUGUGCCUGAAGAGGCACUGAGGAUGAAGUAUUUCCCUUUGACAGAAGGGAGGAUGAAAAGCUACGAUCUUGGCCUGCUUUGGGGAAUGACACCAGGUAUUCUAACGUGAUUUGUUUAAUGCUCAGCAGAAGUAUUUUGAUUUCAGUGUGUCUGUGACUGAAAUGGACCAGUGAUCUCACCCAUUGCCUUUUAAAUUUUGGAAAGAUGGCAGCCUGUGUUUGUGGAACCAUGCUGACUCAGCCAGAAUUUCCACGUGGAGGAAGAUGUGAUGGGAGAGGAGAGGAGCAACCUUCACUAAAUGAGACAAGGACUGGAACAGGGGCUGUGAAAGGUGGGUCAGAACACUAGGAUGCUGCAGGAAGCCGAGCUCGGAGGAUUCCAAGCCUUUCUGGAUGCUUCCCAGGAUGGAUUUCUAUAGGAAAUGAGGCUUUUGGGUGGCCCUGUAGUGAGUACAAGUCGUUUUCAAGUUGCAGUUCUUGCCCAUAGCUGGCUCAUUAAAGGUGUGACCUGCAGCUCAUCC